CGUGCCUUGCAACGCGUCGAGCUCCGACGUGACCCUCUCCAUGUACUUCCUUGCCAGCUGAACUGACGCGAGUUUGAUCUGCAACCAACGAUUUUUAUGCAAGGAGCGGGCGAAGGAACACCACCGGAGGAACAUGUGGAUUGGAUUGUCUAUCUAUGUUUAUCUCUCAGCAAAGACAGGCUCGUGUAGCACAGGAGGAGGUGGUGGCUGACAAAAUCUUCAUAUGCUGAUGAUACACGAAACUGCGGAAGGCUUGUGGCUUUGGAAGAGAGUGGUAGGGCGUUGUUUGCUGUGCACAGAAAUGGGUGGUGGCUGGUAUGUCUGGGUGAGGGUGAAGGCGGGGUCCUAGUCUGGGUGAUGGUGAUAUAUCUGGAUAGGGGAGACGCGGUGGAUUAUGAUGAAUUUAUGAUGAUGAUGAGGCUCACAGGAUGGACCAUGGCAGUGCUAGUACCCUCUCCUGGACUCUAAUCUCAAGUUAUUUUUAUGUAAAGCAAUACUAUCAGGAAAUUCACAUGUGUUUUUUUUAAUCCUUACAAGUGAUUUUUUCUAGGGACCGAUUUUACCUAAGGUGUAUUUCAGAAUCUCAAGUAUGGCACUUGUCAGAAACUCUGUUAUUUUGUCUUUGUUGGGAAGUCCUAUGGAAAAUCUGAGAUACUCAUCUUUUGAUAAA